AUACAAUAAUUGUAUUUUUUUUCCUUUAUAUGUGGAUGAUAAUUUUCCUGUUUGUUUACAUUAAACUAAAGCUGCACGAGUUUAUUUUGAGUAUUUGUAUAAUUGAUAUCACCAUGAUCACUCAGCAUCCUGAGUACAUCGCCGAGAUGCGUUGGAACAGGCGCAGGGUGGCAAUAGGGAUGAUGACAGUUUUUUAAAUUGUAUACAAAUUAAGAGUAUGGUAAUAGUAAAGCAUUUUUGUAAAAGUAACAGGAUAUCUGCGAUCAUUACUUUCGGAGCUACAGGGAUUUAAAGGGUCAGAUUUGCGGCGCUGCCGCGGAUCUCUGAAAAACGCCCCAUAAAAAUGGUACGAACAAUGACGUCGUAGGUACAUAAUGAUCGUUAGAUUUGUAUGGGGGUUAAAACAAAAUUACUAAUAUCUUUGUUAUUUGUACGUUUAUGUUUUUAUUUUAUAUAUUAAAAAAUGUCACAUUUAAUGUAAGGAAGCUAAAACUGUAUGAAUUUUCAUCUAAUUACGAUAAAAGAUUUUUAAUAGAUUUUGAAAUUUUAUAAUCUCGUUUAUUUUGCAAAUAUCCAGACAAUCUUUGCUUUUUAUGUAUAAAUUAGUUAACAUUGACCUUAUUUACCCGAAUGUAUCAUAAAAAUUAAUAUAUUCAAACCUAGUCAUCAUCCCCAUUGUUGUUAUCACCAUCAUCACAAAGCAUCCUGCGUACAUCGCCGAGAUGCGUUGGAGCAGGCGCAGGGUGGCAAUUGUCGCGGAGGAUGUCAUUAAUAACUGGCGUCGCUAACGGUGGAAUUCAUAGUCGUAGUAGGGGGCCCCUAAGGGGAUUAUUCAGCCGCUAUGUGUCGAAUUCAACCCCUACGCGUUUCAUAGACAAAAGAAACCCCUCAUUUGACAGGAGCUGGCGGCUGACUGCUGAAUUACCGAUAUUUGUCAGCCAAACCAUCCCCUGGCAUUUUUUUUUGUUGUUAUUCGUGAUUUAUUUAUUAGAAAGUGGACGUUCGGAUCGUUAUAAGUGAAGUUAUAAACAGCGAGUUAUAUCAGUGCCCAAGAUAUAUAUUCGCAAUUGCGUAAACCCAGUAUAAUACUAUGGCGAUAUGGAAUGUACGAAAGAUUCUCAUAUUAGGCAUAAUAUGCCUCUGUUUGAUGAAGAAUGAACACAGAAGACCAACAGAGGAAUACCAAUACCGCUAGUAUUAUACAUUCUAGCAGCACUUCGAUUCUAUGAAACGGGAUGUUAUCAGACUGUAGGUGCAGUCCAUCAAGCAUUCUAUGAAAUAACAGAAAUGCCAAAAGUCAAGCUGUAUUGAUGUCACGCAUAGGUAUACAUAUAAACAACCCCGGAGGACCCUAUACACAGAUUUAAAGAAACCGGCUAUCAUGGCAUGGAAUAGCAGUGAUGAGCUCUGAGAAUACUGUUUUACCAAGAAUACUGAGAAUACUUUGGUCCUUGAAAAUCUGAGUUUUCAGAUCACAGUAAUUGGAAGACCCUCAUACCUUGAAAAGUCAGCAGCAUUUAAUAUUGAAGUACAUAGUAGGAGUGAGUGCAGUGUAUUGUAAGGAAGUCCAUAACAAUAGAAAAUAUAUACAAAUCUUAAUUGAAUGAAAUUUAUUGAUUCACAUCUUUAAUAAAGAUAAUUAUUAAAUGUUUA